AGUCUGAGCAGGGAUGGGUGGGUGUGGCCAGCUCCUGCUUGUUUUUCUUUAAAGAGCGGGUCAAUUGAGCCUCGGAGUCCUUCUCUACCCACGUAUCAAUUUUAAAAAAUGCAACAUUAGUAGGCGUUGCCUGGAGGACCGAGAGGGCGGAGCCGCGGCAGUGACGAAGACGACGGCUAACUAGACGAUGCUAGCUCCCUUCACUCUAUGCAGUUAUUAGAAGUGGAGGAUGUUUCUCCCCCUCCUUACCCAGACACUCGAGAAGAAAGGGACCAAGUCUAUUUGGAGGAGACAAGCGGACCUGAGCCUUAUUGUUGUGAGCUUGUGAGUUGCCUGUAACUCCCAGAACCGACCCAACAGAACCACCUCUGAACGUCCUCUGGUGUCUGCAGCUGGUCUCUGGUGUCUGCAGGUGGUCUCCUCUGCUGGUGCCAUCAGGAUCAGGAGCUUCCAGAAGAAUGUGCCUUUCAAUGACUCUUUCCUCCUUAUUUGUUAUAUUAAUUAAAUAAAUCUCAAUUUA